ensembl:lncRNA
GUCCCCAUAGACCCAUAGUGUCCCCAUAGACCCAUAGCGUCCCCCAUAGACCCAUAGAGUCCCCAUAGACCCAUAGAGUCCCCAUAGACCCAUAGCAUCCCCAAGCCAUCCCUAUGGGGUCCCCAAGGGGUCCAUAGACCCAUAGUGUCCCCAUAGACCCAUAGCGUCCCCAUAGACCCAUAGUGUCCCCAUAGACCCAUAGUGUCCCCAUAGACCCAUAGCGUCCCCCAUAGACCCAUAGUGUCCCCAUAGACCCAUAGUGUCCCCAUAGACCCAUAGCGUCCCCCAUAGACCCAUAGAGUCCCCAUAGACCCAUAGCAUCCCCAAGCCACCCCUAUGGGGUCACGGGCACUGGGUGACAUUGAAGUGUCCCCAUAGGUGACACGCUUGCUGUCCCUGCCCUAUAGCAAGCAGGUCAAUGCUGUGACUCAGGCCUUAACGAGGUGGGGCUGGCCCCAUUGAUGUCCCCUCCCCCCCCUAUGGUGGCCCCACCCAUCAGCUGGGCCCUAUAUAAGGUGGGUCCCGGUCCCGUGUCCCCAUUGAUGAUGACGACCCCAAUGAUGAAACCUCAUUGGCUGCCGUUGGCCCUCGGGGUCCUACUGGUGAUUUAUGGGGGGAUGAUACAAGGCGCUGCCUCCGAGUGCGACUCAGGAUCCCAGCUGAGCCCCCUGAUGGCCGGGGUGGAUCCCUGCAAGGAACCCACCGGAUUCCUCAGCCCCCAAACUGGGGGGGACACAGCGGGAUCCACCGGGGGGGGAGGGGGAUCCUACAGCGGACCCGGAUCCUAUGGGAGCAACUCAGGAUCCUAUGGAGGCGGAUCGGGAUCCCAAAGCGGAUCGGGAUCCUAUGGGGGCAGACCAGGAUCCCAAAGCGGAUCGGGAUCUUAUGGGGGCAGACCAGGAUCCCAAAGCGGAUCGGGAUCCUAUGGGGGCGGAUCAGGAUCCUAUGGGGGUAGACCGGGAUCCCAUGGUGGUGGAUCGGGAUCCUAUGGCGGCGGAUCAGGAUCCUAUGGGGGCAGACCGGGAUCCCAUGGUGGCGGAUCAGGAUCCUAUGGGGGUGGAUCGGGGCCAUCCCCAGGCCGAGGAAGCGGAUCGGGAUCCUACGUGUCACCGGAAUCCAGUGGGGGCAAACCGGGUUAUUAUGGGAGCAGACCGGGAUCCCAAGGGGACGGGGAUGGAUCGGGAUCUUUUGUCUCACCGGGAUCCGGUGGACCACCAGGAUCCUAUGGACUGCUGCCCUAUGGGUUGGACAGACCUGGGUCCCAAGGGGGAUCGGGAUCGGGAAGACCUGGAUCUCAAGGGGGAAGUGGAUCGGGAUUAGGAUCGGGAAGACCUGGAUCCCAAGGAGGAUCGGGAUCGGGAUCAGGAAGACCUGGAUCCCAAGGGGGAAGUGGAUCCCAAGGAGGCAGCGGAUCGGGGUCCUAUGGGGGAUCAAGCUCCUAUGGAGGCAGCUCGGGAUCCUAUGGGCUCCCCGAGUCCUAUGGGGAUGAUUCGGGAUCCUAUGGGGGGUCGGGAUCCUAUGGGGGCGGAUCGGGAUCCUACAGUGACUCAGGAUCCUACGGGGGCGGAUCAGGAUCCCAAAGUGGAUCGGGAUCCUAUGGGGGCGGAUCAGGAUCCUAUGGGGGAUCUGGAUCCUAUGGGGGCAGACCGGGAUCCCAAAGCGGAUCUGGAUCCUAUGGGGGCGGAUCUGGAUCCUAUGGGGGAUCUGGAUCCUAUGGGGGCGGAUCAGGAUCCUAUGGGGGGUCGGGAUCCUAUGGGGGUGGAUCCCUGCGCCCCAUAUACAAGAACCCAGGGAUCCCUUUUGUACCGGGGUUGAGGGAUCCAGCCCGAACUGGGGGUUACAUCCCCAUCCGUCGUGGUCCCAAUACUGGAUCCUCUUAUAGCGCCGGGACCGGGACCUAUGGAUCGGGAUCCAGUGUGGGAUCGGGAUCCAGUGUGGGAUCGGGAUCCAGUGUGGGAUCGGGGCAGGAAUCGGGCUGUGGGGAUUGUGAUUAAUAGGGGAUGGCAAUGUCAACCUCCCCAUGGUCCCAAUAAAGCCCUUGUAGAGUCCCA